AAGACUAUACUUUCAGGGAUCAUUUCUAUAGUUUGUGACUAGAGAAGUUUCUCUGAACGUGUAGAGUACCCGAAACCACGAGGAAGAGGCGCAGUGUUCUCUCCUGAGCGUGAAGCUGGUCUUUGAUGUUGUUUGUGCAACUAUCAAUCACCAUUGAUGAUCGUUCUUCUUCUCUUUUGGAGAAGUGAGAGGGAGAGAACGCAGUCUGAGUGGU
rfam:Ailuropoda melanoleuca scaffold9775_1, whole genome shotgun sequence.